CCCGCUGAACUUAAGCAUAUUAUUAAGCGGAGGAAAAGAAACUAACAAGGAUGGCCCUAGUAGCGGCGAGUGAAGAGGACUCAGCUCAAAAUUAAAAUCUGGCCUCUUAGGCUCGAGUUGUUGGUUUUCGAUCGUAUAUGACUGACAUCUUUGGAGGUAUGUGAUUUCUUUGGAAUAAGAUAUCAGAGAGGGUGAGAAUCCCGUAUUUAAGUCCAAUAUUUAUUUCGAUCGUAUUAUAUGAAUGACGAGUCGGGUUGUAGGGGAUUGCAGCCCAACUUAGGUGGUAGAUUUCAUCUAUAGCUAAAUAUCUCGGAGAGACCGAUAGCGAAGAAGAACUGUGAAGGAAAGGUGAAAAGAACUUUGAAAAGAAGGUUAAAAGUACUUGAAACUGUUAAAAGGGAAACGAAUGACACUAGUGUUCAUAUAUAUUAUGAUUCAAUCUAUUAGGUAUGACUUAAUAACAUAGCUUAGAGUCUUAUGGACCUAUCUUUAUUAUAAGGGAAUAUUUAAUAGCUUCACUUCAUAUAUAUAUGAGUCAAUAUGCAAUUUGAGAGUUUGGAGAAAGUGUUUGAUAAAGGUAGGCAUUGAUUGCUCUUGGUAUAAAUCCGUGUUGUGAUAGUACUAACUUCGCACACACUCUCACAGAUUAAGGAAAACAACAUAGCCUCUAGCAAAGUAAGUCUUCAGAACCCGUUUGGGUAUAAUUUAUAUAAUUGCCUAGCAAUAUAUGAUCUAUAUCUAAAUAGCACGCUGAUACUAUAUCUAUGUAAAGGAUAUUGACAAAAUACCUAUAUUCUUCCCGACUUGAAACACGGCAGGGACGAC
rnacentral:rRNA from 1 species